rnacentral:misc_RNA from 1 species
GAAAUGCAAUAAGUAGUGUGAAUUGCAGAAUUCAGUGAAUCAUCAAAUCUUUGAACGCACAUUGCGCCCUUUGGUAUUCCUUAGGGCAUGCCUGUUCGAGCGUCAUCUAAACCUUCAAGCCCUGCUUGGUGUUGGGUGCCUGUCCCGCCUCCGCGCGCGGACUCACCUCAAAUCCAUUGGCGGCCCCCGCGUCGGCCACGAGCGCAGCAGAAACGCGAACUCGUGAGCCCGUCCGGGCGGCUCCCAGAAGCUACACCCACCCAGUUUGACCUCGGAUCAGGUAGGGAUACCCGCUGAACUUAAGC